rnacentral:misc_RNA from 1 species
CACAAACAAUAGAGCUUUUAUUAGAUUGACACAUUUAAGUCGAACAGUCACAUAAGAGAGAUGCAAAUAUCAAAACAUGGUAUAAAACAGCAUGGAUUAACAUCUGAUUGAUCAUCUCAAAUGGCUUCCCCCUUUCCGUAUAAUUUACCAACCCUGUCACCACCAGAAACAAGAACGACAAGUGAACACUCCUCAAAUGCUUGCAUCUCAUCUCAACGUGAGGCCAAGCAUUUGAGGAGUGUUCA